GUUUAAAAUACAAACGUCCGCGCUGUCAAAUCAAGAAAAGAGGGAAAAAGUUCAGAAAACAAAUUAAACGAAAAUACACAUUUGAAGUCCGCAAGGUGGAAAAAAAUUUAAAGAAAACAAAUCAAACGGAAAAACCAUGUCCCGCACCGAAGAAGAAUUCAGUGAGAAGAUCCAUGACUCUUUGCUUUGUAAUUCCUGAAGCUUCCAAAGGCUCGGAAGACGUGCACGAUGAAGAAGACUACCUGUACACUCAUGGCAUUGUUGAACUGGACUCGCUUUCGGCUUUGAUGAUCAUGUGCACGGUUUGAACUGCUGCAGACUGUCACUUGGGCAUUUCAGACAACGUAUAAAGGUCUGUCCGCGCACUGUCUUUUGGCGAAUACUUGGCUGAUAUGCGCAACAUAGCAGCUUCACUAUGUCUAAAUCGCUGCUCUCGUAAGCUUUGAACAGAGGCGUUUCUCCAAGCUUAUUGCGAACAUUCACACC